rnacentral:rRNA from 1 species
GAUGAACGCUGGCGGUCUGCUUAACACAUGCAAGUCGAACGGAAUCCUUCGGGAUUUAGUGGCGGACGGGUGAGUAACGCGUGAGAAUCUGCCUUCAGGUUCGGGACAACAGCUGGAAACGGCUGCUAAUACCGGAUGUGCCGAGAGGUGAAAGCUUUAGUGCCUGAAGAUGAGCUCGCGUCUGAUUAGCUAGUAGGAGUGGUAAUGGCACCCCUAGGCGACGAUCAGUAGCUGGUCUGAGAGGAUGAUCAGCCACACUGGGACUGAGACACGGCCCAGACUCCUACGGGGGGCAGCAGUGGGGAAUUUUCCGCGAUGUGCGCAAGCCUGCCGGAGCAAGACCGCGUGAGGGAAGAAGGUCUGUGGAUUGUAAACCUCUUUUGAUGGGGAAGAAGACAGUGACGGUACCCAUCGAAUCAGCCUCGGCUAACUCCGUGCCAGCCGCCGCGGUAA